GAACACGAACAGGCUUGGGCAUCGGCGGACCUCGCCGUGGGCUGCGGCAGCACUUCCAGCGGACAACUAGCCCCACCCCUGCCCAGCCCUUAUCCAAGUCUGCGCAACCCCCUCCACAGCCAUACACAGCGGCCAGCUGCGCCAUCUGCCGUCGCCAGAGAAGAGAACUCCCAGCCUUCAGGGAAGGAUGGAGUUAAUGACAAUCGUUGCUCCAAGUGUCAAUUCUGGAGUUCAAGUUCUUUUUGUGUGUGUGGAUAUCAGUUUAAGUUUUUUGAAGGUAGUGCUAUCCUAGCAGCCAGUGGCAAUUUUUGUUUGAUGUUACACACGCUCCUGGUCAUAUAGGAGUUGAGGUUUGGAAUCAUUUAGAUUGGAAAGCCAACAAAGGAGUAUCUGAAAAAAAUGCUGAAUAUUAUCCAUAAAGCUAACCUUAUGAAGUGUCAUGCUGAUGCAAAGCUUUGUACAUUAACUUUCUUUAUAUAACAUUUGUAUAUGUCUAUACUGGAACAGAUCUUUUCAUUUUGUUUGGAGACAAAGUUAGUACACAUGCUGGACAGAAAUUACACAUUUAGUUAAGAUUGAUA